UUGCAGUACUUUUGCAUGGUGAUGAGGAUCAAUAUUGAUUGUAAUGGCUGCUACAGAAAAGUGAAGAGAGCCCUUCUUGAUAUGCCAGAGUUGGAUACCCAUCUCCUAGAAAAGAAUCAGACAAGGGUAAUUGUGUGUGGAAGGUUCAUUCCACGGGAUGUUGCAAUCAUGAUAAGGAAAAAAACUAACCGUAGAGUGGAGAUAUUAGACAUACAAGACCUGAGUGAGAGCAAUGCUGAAAUGGAAGACCAGAAACCAAUGACCAAUAAUUGGACACUUCUAACUACUCAGAAUCAAAUGGAAACAUGUCUGGCUUGAGAGAAAGAAAGAAUAUUGUCUCAUAUUUCAUCCAUAUAUGUAUCCACAAGUGAGUAUGUGACUUGUACCAUUUUUUUUAAGUAUUCCUCACUACUAAUCAUUGUAAUAAUUCUAGACAUUACUAACUUAUAAUUGCAUCUAUUUCUGUGUUU